UACGUAGGGGGCAAGCGUUGUCCGGAUUUAUUGGGCGUAAAGAGCGUGUAGGCGGCCAGGUAGGUCUGCUGUGAAAACUCGAGGCUUAACCUCGAGCUGUCGGCGGAAACCAUCUGGCUAGAGUCCGGAAGAGGAGAAUGGAAUUCCCGGUGUAGCGGUGAAAUGCGCAGAUAUCGGGAGGAACACCUGUGGCGAAAGCGGCUCUCUGGACCACAACUGACGCUGAGGCGCGAAAGCUAGGGGAGCAAACAGG
rnacentral:rRNA from 1 species